AAAAUACCCCCUCUGUCCGAAAAUACUUGUCAAAGUAAUGAAUAUAUCUAGACAUAUUUUAGUUAUAAAUACAUUCAAUUUUAUCCAUCUCCCCGAUCAGUAUUUAGGGACGGAGGGAGUACUUC
rfam:Triticum urartu cultivar G1812 contig352335, whole genome shotgun sequence.